AGCACAGAUCCUCUGCACUGGUUUGGCACAAGACCUCCCGAGCAGGACAUGUAACCCACAAAAUUUAGCGAGUUUCCAGGCUUUGCUUCUUGUGAGAUUUAACGACGAUGCUGGUCUUAAAAUGGUUUUACCACAAGAAAAGCUUCCCCUACAUGGAGUAUACCUGUUGUCUUCCCCCCUGAGGCCUCACACUGCCAGUCUGAGGAAUAAAAUGAUAGAUCCAGAUGCUUUACCACAGAUCAUGGGGAGACAAUACAGAUUUGAUGAGAAAAGUGUGUUUGAGGUCAGAAACACAUCCUCACCUGAUGAAAGGUCUUGAGAUGGCCAGGACGGUUCGGAUGAACCAUGUCGGCAUCUCUUCAGCCAGCUGAUGCCGGGCAUCUUCCUGCGAGGAGUUGCUCCGUUCAGGUACGGCCUGAUGACCUGCAUGUCAAUGCGCUGUUCCUGGUCCCCGAUGAUCACCGUCCUCCACAUACGACCUGACGAGUCUCGUU